GUCUACGGCCAUGCUACCCUGAACAAGCCCAAUCCCAUCUGAUCUCGGAAGCUAAGCAGGGUCGGGCCUGGUUAGUACUUGGAUGGGAGACCACCUAGGAAGACCAGGUGCUAUAGGCG
rnacentral:rRNA from 1 species